rnacentral:rRNA from 1 species
AGCGAACGUUUGCGGCGGGCCUAACACAUGCAAGUCGAACGCACUAGCAAUAGUGAGUGGCGCACGGGUGCGUAACACGUGGGUAAUCAACCCUUCAGCUUGGGAUAACGACUUGAAAGGGUCGCUAAUACCGGAUACGGCGCGGGAGGCUUCGGCUUCUCACGAGAAAGCCUCGCAAGGGGCACUGAAGGACGAGCCUGCGGCCCAUCAGCUAGUUGGUGAGGUAAGAGCUCACCAAGGCGAAGACGGGUAGCUGGUCUGAGAGGAUGAUCAGCCACACUGGAACUGAGACACGGUCCAGACUCCUACGGGAGGCAGCAGUGGGGAAUAUUGCGCAAUGGGCGAAAGCCUGACGCAGCCACGCCGCGUGAGCGAUGAAGGCCUU